rnacentral:ncRNA from 1 species
UAAGAACCGAUGACGAAGAAGAGUAAUUUAGAUCUCGGCUGCAUAGAGAGUCGCUCCCCGGCUGAAAGGGCGAUCAGACGAACUAGAUGAAAGACCCUUUUGAGGUAUUUUCCUGAAACGAACAGAGUAGGGGAAAUCGUAGGCAGGCGUUAACUGCACCGAGUGGCUGAGAUUUUUCAGCAACCAGGGUGGUACCACGGGAUCUUUAAGUUCUCGUCCCUUUG